GCGGGGGAGACACACCAGAUUUUUCUGUAAAGGGCCAGAUAGUAAAUAUUUUAGGCUUUUCAGGCCAAGAGGAAAAUCAACAGUAUUAUUUAUGUAUGCAAAUGAGAAGAAUGGAAUUCUUUGGGAUGACAUUUUGCUUAAUUAGGAUCAAGGGGCGCCUGGGUGGCUCAGUCGCUAAGCGUCUGCCUUCGGCUCAGGUCAUGGUCCCAG